rnacentral:lncRNA from 1 species
GCCACGCCCCCGCCCGGCCGCCGUGGACAUUCCAGCGGGCGCUGAGUGUUCCGGGCCCGCUUCCUCCUCAUACUCCUCCUCAUCUUCAUCCUCACCUUCAUCUUCAUCCUCCUCAUCUUCAUCCUCAUCCUCCUCCUCGGCCCGCUACCGGGCCCGCCCGCGGGCGCCUGUUCUGUGCUGCCAGGGCCGCAGGCACCCCGCAGCCUUCCCUUUCCCCCGGCACAUGGAAAACGGCCAGUCCUACAGGCUUUAUAUGGAGCCUUCACAGACAGGGCAGAGGCUGCUGUAAGGGGCUUUUUUGGGCAUCUGAAGUGCUCAUGGACAAACCUGGAGAAGCCGGAAGCACCCUUCUUCUGGCUGGUCCUUUGCCAGUGACCACCUGUAAGUGUGUGCUGGAAGAGAAACCUAACAAAUGGAGCUGGUAAGAUUUUUCAGCCUUUCUGGGGAUUAAAACCAGAAAGAUUAAUUUUCAAUCUCAGAAUAAUACCUGAACCCCUCA